CCUACGGGUGGCAGCAGUGGGGGAUAUUGCACAAUGGGGGGAACCCUGAUGCAGCGACGCCGCGUGGGUGAAGAAGCGCCUAGGCGCGUAAAGCCCUGUCAGCAGGGAAGAAAAUGACGGUACCUGAAGAAGAAGCCCCGGCUAACUACUUGCCAACAGCCGCGGUAAUACGUAGGGGGCAAGCGUUAUCCGGAUUGAAUGGGUGUAAAGGGGGCGCAGACGGCGAGGCAAGCACGGAGUGGAAGCCCGGGGCCCAACCCAGGUACUGCUCUUGGAACUGCGUGGCGGGAGUGCAGGAGGGGCAGGCGGAAUGCCUGGUGUAGCGGUGAAAUGCGUAGAUAUCAGGAGGAACACCGGUGGCGAAGGCGGCCUGCUGGACUGCAACUGACGUUGAGGCCCGAAAGCGUGGGGAGCAAACAGGAUUAGAUACCCUAGUAGUC
rnacentral:rRNA from 1 species